rnacentral:rRNA from 1 species
UUUAAUGAGAGUUUGAUCCUGGCUCAGGACGAACGCUGGCGGCGUGCCUAAUACAUGCAAGUAGAACGCUGAAGAGAGGAGCUUGCUCUUCUUGGAUGAGUUGCGAACGGGUGAGUAACGCGUAGGUAACCUGCCUGGUAGCGGGGGAUAACUAUU